AUGACGGCGUCGUUGAGCCAGGUGAGUCAGCCGUUCAUCAUCGCGGCUCACGGCCGCUCCAUACUUUUCCAGGCGUAUGCCCCCUUCGUUGGAGAUAGAUGUCCGGCAUUCUACUAUUACCCCAUAGACUAUUUCCUCUACACAGCCUCUGGCUCAGAGAAGUCUCCUUGUCUCAUGCGACUCCCGCCUUGCUUCGAUGGUGGGGACAAGAACCCGGACGUGGAUUUGUACUUCCACCCGUACCGUCUCCAGCAGCUGCGAUCUAUGUGGCGUGAUGACAUUGGCCUCCUUUGCCGUGGCAAGGGGGAGUUCGUGGUGGCGCAGCUCACAUUUGGCGGCCAGCUCUGCGUGCUACACCGUAAACCUGGGGAGGAGGAGGGCGACAUGAAUUGGAGCGUUGAAAAUAUGCCCUUACCUGACGGCGAUGACAUCCCAAACCUGCUGUGUGGUUCGUGGCAAACGGACGCCGUCGUCCCCUAUGGUGGUUGUUACCUGUGCUGGGCGGAUUGCUACCUGGGCUUGCUUUUUGUCGGUGUCAUUGACAAGCGGACGAAGCCCCCGUGCUACGUCCCCUUACCUGAUGGUCUGGAUUCCAAUUGUCUGUGCAUUGACCCAGGGUAUCCUGACCCGGCCCGUCGUGUCUGUGUCUCUGAGUCCGGCUUGAUUAACCUCAUAUGUGUUGGUGAUCGUGCUGGCUGCAGUGUGUGUGCCAGUUCUUAUUCUGCUUUCACUAUCACAGUAUGGACUUUCACCAACUUAAGGGAAAAGAAAUGGAUGAAAUGUUUCACCAUGGAAGACAGCAAGUUCUGGGCUGCUCUUGAUUUUGACAAGCGUCUUCCGCAUGUGCUACCAGAGUUCCCUACCAUCAGCUUGGUUAAGCCUGAUGUUGUUUCCUUCCGGUUGAAUGGUGGUAAUAAACUUUUCUGGCUGAUUGAGAUUGACAUGAAGAAGGAAGUGCUGGGGUCAACCAGUCUCUACAUCUUUGAAGAAGAAGAAGAAGAAGAGAAAUGCUCCACUGACAUGGCCCACUGGAGAUCAUUUCCUGGCUACUUCUUUGUUCCCAGCCCGUUCACCCGAUACUUGGACCAGCAUGCCAUCAGAAGUCUGGAACUCAGCGAGAAGUUACAGAAUAUAAGACUUGAGCAAGCUAAAGAAAAGAGAUUUGUUGAAGAGUGA
rnacentral:rRNA from 1 species